CAUGCAAGUUGUACGAGAGUUUUUAACUCAAGUAGCGGACGGGUGAGUAACACGUAAGAAUGUACCUUUAGGAGGGGGAUAACAGCUGGAAACGGUUGCUAAUACCCCAUAUGCUUUCGAGUGAAAUGGAUUUCCGCCUAAAGAGCAGCUUGCGGCUGAUUAGCUUGUUGGUAGGGUAAUAGCCUACCAAGGCGACGAUCAGUAUCUGGUUUGAGAGGACGAUCAGACACACUGGAACUGAGACACGGUCCAGACUCCUACGGGAGGCAGCAGUAGGGAAUUUUCCGCAAUGGGCGAAAGCCUGACGGAGCAAUACCGCGUGAGGGAUGACUGCCUAUGGGUUGUAAACCUCUUUUUUCAGGGAGGAAUAAAAUGACGUGUACCUGAAGAAUAAGCAUCGGCUAACUCCGUGCCAGCAGCCGCGGUAAGACGGAGGAUGCAAGUGUUAUCCGGAAUCACUGGGCGUAAAGCGUCUGUAGGUGGUUCAAUAAGUCAACUGUUAAAUCUUGAAGCUCAACUUCGAAAUCGCAGUCGAAACUAUUGGACUAGAGUAUAGUAGAGGUAAAGGGAAUUUCCAGUGGAGCGGUGAAAUGCGUAGAGAUUGGAAAGAACACCGAUGGCGAAAGCACUUUACUGGGCUAUACUGACA
rnacentral:rRNA from 1 species